AUUGAACGCUGGCGGCAGGCUUAACACAUGCAAGUCGAGCGGAGAUGAGGUGCUUGCACCUUAUCUUAGCGGCGGACGGGUGAGUAAUGCUUAGGAAUCUGCCUAUUAGUGGGGGACAACAUUCCGAAAGGAAUGCUAAUACAGCAUACGUCCUACGGGAGAAAGCAGGGGAUCUUCGGACCUUGCGCUAAUAGAUGAGCCUAAGUCGGAUUAGCUAGUUGGUGGGGCAAAGGCCUACCAAGGCGACGAUCUGUAGCGGGUCUGAGAGGAUGAUCCGCCACACUGGGACUGAGACACGGCCCAGACUCCUGCGGGAGGCAGCAGUGGGGAAUAUUGGACAAUGGGGGGAACCCUGAUCCAGCCAUGCCGCGUGUGUGAAGAAGGCCUUAUGGUUGUAAAGCACUUUAAGCGAGGAGGAGGCUACUGAGACUAAUACUCUUGGAUAGUGGACGUUACUCGCAGAAUAAGCACCGGCUAACUCUGUGCCAGCCGCCGCUGUAA
rnacentral:rRNA from 1 species